rnacentral:rRNA from 1 species
GGUUAAGCGACUAAGCGUACACGGUGGAUGCCCUGGCAGUCAGAGGCGAUGAAGGACGUGCUAAUCUGCGAUAAGCGUCGGUAAGGUGAUAUGAACCGUUAUAACCGGCGAUUUCCGAAUGGGGAAACCCAGUGUGAUUCGUCACACUAUCAUUAACUGAAUCCAUAGGUUAAUGAGGCGAACCGGGGGAACUGAAACAUCUAAGUACCCCGAGGAAAAGAAAUCAACCGAGAUUCCCCCAGUAGCGGCGAGCGAACGGGGAGGAGCCCAGAGCCUGAAUCAGUGUGUGUGUUAGUGGAAGCGUCUGGAAAGGCGCGCGAUACAGGGUGACAGCCCCGUACACAAAAAUGCACAUACUGUGAGCUCGAUGAGUAGGGCGGGACACGUGGUAUCCUGUCUGAAUAUGGGGGGACCAUCCUCCAAGGCUAAAUACUCCUGACUGACCGAUAGUGAACCAGUACCGUGAGGGAAAGGCGAAAAGAACCCCGGCGAGGGGAGUGAAAAAGAACCUGAAACCGUGUACGUACAAGCAGUGGGAGCACGCUUCGGCGUGUGACUGCGUACCUUUUGUAUAAUGGGUCAGCGACUUAUAUUCUGUAGCAAGGUUAACCGAAUAGGGGAGCCGAAGGGAAACCGAGUCUUAACUGGGCGUUAAGUUGCAGGGUAUAGACCCGAAACCCGGUGAUCUAGCCAUGGGCAGGUUGAAGGUUGGGUAACACUAACUGGAGGACCGAACCGACUAAUGUUGAAAAAUUAGCGGAUGACUUGUGGCUGGGGGUGAAAGGCCAAUCAAACCGGGAGAUAGCUGGUUCUCCCCGAAAGCUAUUUAGGUAGCGCCUCGUGAAUUCAUCUCCGGGGGUAGAGCACUGUUUCGGCAAGGGGGUCAUCCCGACUUACCAACCCGAUGCAAACUGCGAAUACCGGAGAAUGUUAUCACGGGAGACACACGGCGGGUGCUAACGUCCGUCGUGAAGAGGGAAACAACCCAGACCGCCAGCUAAGGUCCCAAAGUCAUGGUUAAGUGGGAAACGAUGUGGGAAGGCCCAGACAGCCAGGAUGUUGGCUUAGAAGCAGCCAUCAUUUAAAGAAAGCGUAAUAGCUCACUGGUCGAGUCGGCCUGCGCGGAAGAUGUAACGGGGCUAAACCAUG